ensembl:processed_transcript
UAAUUACGAACACCUGACCUGCAGUGCAGCAGAAUUCAGAGAGAUGUAACUUACUUCAGAGACGCACUAACUUGCACAGCAUUGAAUGGAAAAGGCUUUGUCCAUGUCCAGUUGAGGGGCAUCAAGAACACGCAGAUGGCCUAAACCUGUGUCAGCCUGGACAGACUGCAGUUCUGCUAUUCCACGCCAAGGCUUUUGUUUUCUGGAAGCUCCAUUUGAGUUCAUCAAGGACAUACUGAUGGCCUAAACCAGUGUCAGCCUAGACAGACAGACAGACAGACAUCUAUUGCAGCUCUGCUACACCACACCAAACUCUCUGCUUUUGUAUGGAUGUCUGACUAGUACGGUGUUCUCUAAAGGUAUAACUGGAGCAAAACAACAGCACCCGUUACAGUGAAAUUUGUGUUCAUAAAAGAUAGUGAUAUAUGUGUAACAGGUCCAGUACAUUUGUCAUAAAGGUUAAAUCACAGUAAGUACUGUAAAAAUAACUUGUUUGCCUUUGCCACAACAGGUCAU